UACGUAGGGUGCAAGCGUUGUCCGGAAUUAUUGGGCGUAAAGAGCUCGUAGGCGGUCUGUUGCGUCGGCUGUGAAAACCCGAGGCUCAACCUCGGGCCUGCAGCCGAUACGGGCAGACUAGAGUUCGGCAGGGGAGACUGGAAUUCCUGGUGUAGCGGUGAAAUGCGCAGAUAUCAGGAGGAACACCAAGAGCGAAGGCAGCUCGCUGGGACGGUACUGACGCUGAGGUGCGAAAGCGUGGGGAGCAAACAGG
rnacentral:rRNA from 1 species